rnacentral:rRNA from 1 species
UGAGGAAUAUUGGUCAAUGGGCGGGAGCCUGAACCAGCCAAGCCGCGUGAGGGAUGAAGGCCCUAUGGGUUGUAAACCUCUUUUGUCAGGGAACAAAAGCGAGUAUGUAUACUAGUCUGAGUGUACCUGAAGAAAAAGCAUCGGCUAACUCCGUGCCAGCAGCCGCGGUAAUACGGAGGAUGCGAGCGUUAUCCGGAUUUAUUGGGUUUAAAGGGUGCGUAGGCGGCGAUGCAAGUCAGCGGUAAAAGCCCGGGGCUCAACCCCGGCGAGCCGUUGAAACUGCAGUGCUAGAGAAGGCGAGAGGUACGCGGAAUGCGCAGUGUAGCGGUGAAAUGCUUAGAUAUUGCGCAGAACUCCGAUUGCGAAGGCAGCGUACUGGCGCCUGACUGACGCUGAGGCACGAAAGCGUGGGGAUCGAACAGGAUUAGAUACC